rnacentral:rRNA from 1 species
UACGUAGGUGACAAGCGUUGUCCGGAUUUACUGGGCGUAAAGAGCGCGCAGGCGGUCGAUCAAGUCGAGUGUGAAAGCCCCCGGCUCAACUGGGGAGGGUCAUUCGAUACUGAUCGACUCGAAGGCAGGAGAGGGUAGUGGAAUUCCCGGUGUAGUGGUGAAAUUCGUAGAUAUUAGGAAGAACACCAGUGGCGAAGGCGGCUCACUGGCCCGGUACUGACGCUGAGGCGCGAAAGCGUGGGGAGCGAACAGG